CCUACGGGAGGCAGCAGUGAGGAAUAUUGCACAAUGGGCGAAACCCUGAUCCAGCCACGCCGCGUGAGUGAAGAAGUAUUUCUGUAUGUAAAGCUCUAUCUGCAGGGAAGUAAAUGACGGUACCUGAUUAAGUAGCCACGUCUAACUACGUGCCGGCAGCCGCGGUACUACGUAGGAGGCCAGCGUUAUCCGGAGUUACUGGGUGUAAAGGGGGCGUAGACGGCAGCGCAAGUCUGUAGUGAAAUGCCGGGGCUUAACCCCGGAACUGCUGUUGAAACUGGGCAGCUAGAGUGCAGGAGAGGUAAGUGGAAUUCCUAGUGUAGCGGUGAAAUGCGUAGAUAUCAGGCAGAACACCAGUGGCGAAGGCGGCUUACUGGACUGUAACUGACGUUGAGGCACGAAAGCGUGGGGAGCAAACAGGAUUAGAUACCCGAGUAGUC
rnacentral:rRNA from 1 species